rnacentral:misc_RNA from 1 species
GAUGAAGAACGUAGCGAAAUGCGAUAAGUAAUGCGAAUUGCAGAAUUUCCGUGAGUCAUCGAAUCUUUGAACGCACAUUGCGCCCCUUGGUAUCCCGAGGGGCAUGCCUGUUCGAGCGUCAUUUCACCACUCAAGCCUGGCUUGGUGUUGGGCGACGUCCCCUUUGGGGACGCGCCUCGAAACGCUCGGCGGCGUGGCACCGGCUUUAAGCGUAGCAGAAUCUUUCGCUUUGGAAGUCGGGGCCCCGUCUGCCGGAAGACCUACUCGCAAGGUUGACCUCGGAUCAGGCAGGGAUACCCGCUGAACUUAAGCAUAUCAAUAAGCGGAGGA